rnacentral:lncRNA from 1 species
CAAGUAAAUCAUUAUAAUGGCAUCGAUAUGCUCUCCUAAAUUGGAGUAAUUACCCUGCUAAAGUGAAGAACACCACGGGAAAACAUGUCUUUUAGUCUUGUAGAUUAACCUGGGCAGAAAUAGAGUGGCUCACGUGUGAAUUGCAAUGUGAAUUACAAAAUAAUUGAGAUGCUGCUGCUAUCAUAAGUGAAUUGCAGCUAGUGGGGAUUACCUGUAUAAGGAUGUAUCUAUAUGUAGGGUGCGUGUUGUCUUGAUUCUGGAACUAGAAAUUGGAAUGGUUCGUCAGAGAAUAAAAAAAAAUUGGAUCAACCUAGGAGGUUGAGGAUUUCAAAUUCGAGCUAGAGGGAACUUGAACCUAGCACACCUUCCACGUAACCAAUUGGGCUAGGCUCACUUCUUCAUCAGAGAAUACAGGGCCUUGGAGUUUUCACUUUGCAGUUGCAGAUGGCUAUUUGUUUACACACCGUGAUUAAUCCUGAUGAGCUGUGACUAUAAUCAAACCACCUGUAUAAUCUCCUUGUGCAACUUGAUAAUGUUCACGGAACCUGACAAUCUUCCAAGGGAAGGAAGAAUUGAAAUAUUGGAUCAAAAUGUAUGAAAUCGAAAAGCUGCCUCCUUCCCCAGCAAGGAGGACACUAUUCCAAUCCAGUACCUCCCUUACCGCUAAUCUUCUCCAUUAUUUUUCUUCUUUACCAUCAAAUCCCCUCUCCUCUUCUCGAGCACGUCCCUGCUGCAGAAUACGAUAGUUUUUAUGGGGGAGAGAAGUAAAUAUCACCCACUCCUUCAAAAUAAAUGGCGGGAUCAGGUACAACUAGUCCCCGGCUGUCGGGCCCCUCCUUCCCGCCCGUAAUCCAUUGACGCCUCACCUCCGAUGGCGGCGGCGGCGCCGCCGCAGCCCGACCACCCCUACACCUCCGGCGGCCUGGGGUACUUCCACCUCCGCCUCGUGGGGCCCGCCCCCGCCCUGCUCCUCCUGCGCUCCGACCGCCUCUAUUCCCUCUCCCCCUCCCACCGCCGGGGCUACCGCCUCCGCCUCCUCCUCGCCCGCCCUCAUCGCCGGCGCGCCCGCGACCUCCUGCUCAGCACCUCCGGCUGCGCUCUUCGCCUUACACACCGCUUCUCUGGCUCCGGCGCUCCGAG